rnacentral:lncRNA from 1 species
UAAAUUAAAACAACAUUUUAAUUUAUCGUCCCAGAUUGACAUCUAGCAAUGUGUCGGGACAAUACAUGUGACGAGAAAUGUCACGUAGUAGGACAAAACUAAAUUCGUUCAUUUAUCGUGAAACUAUAAUCCCUUCGUCAAUAUGAUCCGAUGAAAUAUGGAAGUGUGUCAAUCUUGAUUAUCGAUCAUAUCUUUCACUCCACUAUUAAGUCAAUAUAAGUCGAAAAUUUCUUUUCGACUUAUGAGUACACCUUGGUCAAGAAUUUCGUUAUCGACUUAAUUGAAUGAAACGCAGAUCAUAAUCUCUUACUAUUUAAGAGUGACGAAUCCUUUAUUGCUCAAUCACCACCUUCAUACGAUUCUUGACGUACUCGAACGAUAUCGUAUUAGCGGUCCUUUGUAGAGCAACAUCCAACACCGUCAAAGUAUGACCGUCCUCAUAUAAGGUACCAUGACGACCUCAAAUCAAAGGACCAAUUCCACUACCGAACGUUAGAGAUUAACCACUGACACUCAAAUAGUUCUCCAUAUGGAAUCUCUUGGCGG